ACGCUCUUACCAGCUAGAAUGCUGAUAAUUUACCACAUGCUGCCUGGUUAAGAGCUGUGU
rnacentral:pre_miRNA from 1 species